rnacentral:rRNA from 1 species
GACGAACGCUGGCGGCGUGCCUAAUACAUGCCAGUAGAACGCACAGUUUAUACCGUAGCUUGCUACACCAUAGACUGUGAGUUGCGAACGGGUGAGUAGCGCGUAGGUAACCUGCCUGGUAGCGGGGGAUAACUAUUGGAAACGAUAGCUAAUACCGCAUAAUAUUAAUUAUUGCAUGAUAAUUAAUUGAAAGGUGCAAUUGCACCACUACCAGAUGGACCUGCGUUGUAUUAGCUAGUAGGUGAGGUAACGGCUCACCUAGGCGACGAUACAUAGCCGACCUGAGAGGGUGAUCGGCCACACUGGGGCUGAGACACGGCCCAGACUCCUACGGGAGGCAGCAGUAGGGAAUCUUCGGCAAUGGACGAAAGUCUGACCGAGCAACGCCGCGUGAGUGAAGAAGGGUUUCGGAUCGUAAAGCUCUGUUGUAAGAGAAGAACGGGUGUGAGAGUGGAAAGUUCACACUGUGACGGUAUCUUACCAGAAAGGGACGGCUAACUACGUG